rnacentral:tRNA from 1 species
GGGUGAUUAGCUCAGUUGGUAGAGCAGCUGACUCUUAAUCAGCGGGUCGCAGGUUCGAACCCUGUAUCACCCACCA